CACCGGCACCCCGAGUGGUAGCCACUAUUAUUGGGCCUAAAGCAUCCGUAGCCGGCUCUGUAAGUUUUCGGUUAAAUCUGUACGCUCAACGUACAGGCUGCCGGGAAUACUGCAGAGCUAGGGAGUGGGAGAGGUAGACGGUACUCGGUAGGAAGGGGUAAAAUCCUUUGAUCUAUUGAUGACCACCUGUGGCGAAGGCGGUCUACCAGAACACGUCCGACGGUGAGGGAUGAAAGCUGGGGGAGCAAACCGG
rnacentral:rRNA from 1 species